rnacentral:rRNA from 1 species
AUUGAACGCUGGCGGCAGGCCUAACACAUGCAAGUCGAACGAGUGGCGGACGGGUGAGUAAUGUAUGGGAAACUGCCUGAUGGAGGGGGAUAACUACUGGAAACGGUAGCUAAUACCGCAUACCACAAGAUGAGCCCAGAUGGGAUUAGCGAGUUGGUGGGGUAACGGCUCACAAAGGAGACGAGCCCUAGCUGGUCUGAGAGGAGGACCAGCCACACUAGAACGGAGAAACGUUCAGAACGCCUACGGUAGGCAGCAGGGGGGAAUAUUGCACAAUGGGCGCAAGCCUGAUGCAGCCAUGCCGCGGGUAGGAAGAAGGCCUUCGGGUUGUAAAGUACGUUCAGCGGGGAGGCGUUACCCGCAGAAGAAGCAGCGGCUAACUCCGUGCCAGCAGCCGCGGUAAUAC